UACGUAGGGGGCAAGCGUUGUCCGGAUUUAUUGGGCGUAAAGAGCGUGUAGGCGGCCAAGCAGGUCCGCUGUGAAAACUCGAGGCUCAACCUCGAGACGUCGGUGGAAACCGUUUGGCUAGAGUCCGGAAGAGGAGAGUGGUAUUCCCGGUGUAGCGGUGAAAUGCGCAGAUAUCGGGAAGAACACCCGUGGCGAAGGCGGCUCUCUGGGACGGUACUGACGCUGAGACGCGAAAGCGUGGGGAGCGAACAGG
rnacentral:rRNA from 1 species